CUUAGGACAGACACUUCGGGCCACAAAUGCUUCGGAGGGUCUACAGGGAGAAGGGAGGAAAGAGAAUUCGCUCAGUCACAAGUAAACUCUUAAUAGAACCUUAUCACUCACCCAGGGGAACUGAGAGCGGUAGGCCAGGGCUCUGGGAUGACCAUCGAUGAUUAAUUGUCUGUUAAGGCGCAAGCAGGGAAAAAACAAACAACACUGCCCGGGACGCCGAGAGCUAAGACCCACCGUCUCGCCGGCCAGCGAGCCGGUUGGCGGCGGGGUUACCCCGGGCUGGGGCGCCGGGACGGGGGUUUAAGGGGAGGGAGGCGCGCUCCACGCUCGGGGGCGGGUCCCGGCGGCCGCUCUCUCCGCCCCCGCAGUCGCCGCCACCUCCAGCCUGCGCCCCAGCGCAGCGGCUCAGACGCGGUCGCAUCCUCGUGGACGGUAGAGGCGGCAGCGAGCUAGAGUCAGCGUCGCAGCUCGCGGCCGCGGAGAGGCCAGGCGAGCCCGAGCGCCGGGACCCGGCCCAGGCUCGGCGGACACCUCUUUGCGCGGCUGGGUCAUGGUAUACUGAAAAGGCACUCAAUCAAGAGAAAUCUGGGGGGAGCUGGAAACCAUCAAGUUAUUGAGGCCACACAGGGGGCAGAAAAGAUAGAGAUCAUAAGCAAAGCGUCACCUCUGAUUUUAGCUCAGAUAGUCUUAGUGCUUGAGGCCAAGCAGAUUCCAUCUGUCUCCUCUCCCAGCCUUUCCCAAGCUCUCAUCCUGAAGUUCUACUCCAGCGGUGUGGUGUAAUGUAAAGAAGUUGGGCUUUGGAGUCAGUCAGACCAGCGUUUGGAUUCUUACUAUCUUAAGAGGUUAGUAACGUUUUCUAAACCUUGGUUUCUUCAUAAAAUGCAGGUGAUUCAGAGCAUUAUGUUGAAAUAAGGUCAUGUGCAUGAAAAGUGUGUGGUACAGGGUA
rnacentral:lncRNA from 1 species